AACCCGACUACAUGAAGCUGGAAUCGCUAGUAAUCGCGAAUCAGAAUGUCGCGGUGAAUACGUUCCCGGGUCUUGUACACACCGCCGUCACACCAUGGGAGUCGGUAACGCCCGAAGCCUGUGACCCAACCGAAUGGAGGGAGCAGUCGAAGGUGGGACCGGUGACUGGGGUGAAGUCGUAACAAGGUAAC
rnacentral:rRNA from 1 species